rnacentral:rRNA from 1 species
AGCUCCAAUAGCGUAUAUUAAAGUUGUUGCGGUUAAAAAGCUCGUAGUUGGAUCUCGGCGGCCAGGGGGUGGUUCGCUCUACGGCGUUACUGCCCCAUUUGGCCGUGUGAUUGGCGGAGGUUUCGGGGUGCUCUUCGCUGAGUGACCCGGGGCGCCGUCAGGUUUACUUUGAAAAAAUUAGAGUGCUCAAAGCAGGCUUUCACGCUUGAAUAUUCGUGCAUGGAAUAAUAGAAUAGGAACUCGUUUCUAUUUUGUUGGUUUUCGGAAAUCGAGUUAAUGAUUAAUAGGGACAAUUGGGGGCAUUAGUAUUCAGACGACAGAGGUGAAAUUCUUGGACCGUCUGAAGACUAACUACUGCGAAAGCAUUUGCCAAGAGUGUUUUCAUUA